CACACUCGACUACCUUCUAGUCAAAAAACGGUGCGCGUGCAACUAGGGGCACGUGAAUGAAGUGAAACUUCUUUUUCGAUGUGUAGUACCUAUUGUGGUUUUCUUCAUUUUUCAUCCUUAAAUCAGAUUGGCUCUUGUAAUAGGGAAUGCUGUGUAUAAGAGAUGCGACAUCUUCAAUAUUUAAAUUUUAUAUUUAUAGAAAAAUAAAUAUAUAAUAUAUUUAAAUACUUCAUUAAAAUAUUGGGCGCUACUCGUUGCUAACGCUCGCGCUGUAACAGAUAUACUACGCGCACGCGUUCGAGUGCCACGCAUACACUCUCGCUCUGUCUCUUUCAAUUCCCCCUCCCAAGGAGCGUUGAACGUUUAACGCAACCUUGUAUGAAGUCGCAUUAGAAGUUUCACUUCAAAACUACUAUUUAAAAUAAAACAGAGCACGAUACAGUCAUUGCGUUUGUAAACAAGGAAAAAAUGUAUUUAGAGGAUUGACUUUAGGUCUAAGGAAUGUAUUGAUUUAUUGAGAGGUUUAGCUGAAUACGUAAUUAGUGGAAAAACACGUUUUGAUGGUAACAAAAGAAUAGUCUUUUGGAAUAGGGUGAAUUGAAAGUAUAGAAGUCGACCGUGAUACAGGUAAUCCUCCUAUAACGCGGUUUCAUUCUAACACGAAAAGAAAAAUUCGGUACGAUAAUUCUAAAACACGAUAACGAAAUUUUUGUAUAAAUUAUUUAGAGACUAGUGGUAGGACCUCUUGUGAGUCCGCACGGGUAGGUACCACCGCCCUGCCUAUUUCUGCCGUGAAGCAGUAAUUCGUUUCGGUUUGAAGGGUGGGACAGCCAUGUAACUAUACUUGAGACGUUACAACUUAUAUCUCAAGGUGGGUGGCGCAUUUACGUUGUAGAUGUCCCGUUGUAGAACCACUUAACACCAGGAGGGCUGUGAGCUCGUCCACCCAUAUAAGCAAUAAAAAAUAACCGAAAUUUUACCGCUUAUUUUUUUUAAUGUAUAAUAUAAUAGGUAAAAAAAAUACACUAAAGUAUAAUUCUAGGGUCGGCAGACUAAAGCACAUAAGUCAAAAUUUUCAAUUUAUUUUUUAUUACAUCAUCGGUUUACAUUUUGCUCAACACACAAUCUGACUAAAGCACAUAAAUCAAACUCAAGUAUUUCAUGGCGUAUUCAAGCGGCGUUCUGUAUCAACCUUAUCAAAUCCUAAUAUAGUCAAACGAACUAAAAAACAUAACUGGACUUAUGUUCUAAGGAACACCAUAAGUACAAAGUUAUUAACGUAAGAAGUCUGACUUAUGUUAUAAAGAACAUCAAAAUGUAACAUUUCUUUAGAGAAAGUGGUUACUUAAAAAUAUUUAUAACGUAAACAAUACUUCGAAUGAAAUGUAAAGAACGUAUACCAUUAACUGAUAGGCGUGCCAUAUUUACAGAAUAUUGGCAAAUGGGGUCAUAUGCAAAAAGAUCUGCAUACUUGGCGUCUUUAAUGGAAAUUCAAAAUAAAUCUAAGCAAAGAAUACGAGCUAUUGAACCUGAAAAGCAAAAGCUUAGAAUGAAGACAUAAAAAUACUUUUUUACUGUGCAUGGUAAACAUGAACCUGUCUGCCGAGGAUGUUUAAUGAAACCGUUAGAUGAAAGUGACAAUUUUAUAAAGACAGUUGCUAUGAAAAGGAGAUCAUCCAUAGGGGGUUCUCAAACUGAUGAUAUAAUAUCUAUACAGCCAUUACCCAUAUCCAUCGAGGAAAAAAAAGAUUUAAUUUCGCUGCUCCCUUUAAUACUAGAUAUUUUCCAUGAAUUUUACAUAAGUCUUCCCACGUUGGAAACUUUACGAAAUACUGAUCCAGAUAUUUUAGAACUCGAUGAAGAAGAAGAAUUUUAAUUAAACAUUGAGUUGUUAUUUAUAUUUAUGACUUAUAUUAUUAUAAUAUAUAUCUUAAUUGUUGAUCUUUUUCACUUAACUCAUACUAUUAUUGUGUUCCUUAUAACUUAAGUCAUCUAAUUAUUAAAUAAUCACAUUUAAUUUAAAAUAUUUAAUUUUAAUAAUAAGUUAGUGUUAUAGACUUAUAUAAUUCAAAUAAACAUUAUUAAGUUUGUUAAUGUAUAAGAUUCUAAAUAGUUUUUUUUAAUUCCUGUAAAGUAGAGUUUUUUGACUUAUGUGCUUUAGUCUGCUGACCCUAGAAUUGAGAUGUUUCAUUAUGCACGCUGCCCUAUUAGCACGUACCGCAAGUAAGUUAAAAAGCGAACUAUACUAUUGGAAUAGAAUUAGUUACCCUUAAUGCAGACAGACAAUUCUGUUUGGCUUCAAAACUUCAAUGUUUCUCGUGCUCAUUUAUAAAUGAUUUACAAAUCUAUACUAAUAUAUAAAUCUACAGUGGUUUUACGGAUGUUCCAUUAUAACUACUGAACCGUGCAACCGAUUGACUUGAAACUUGGUAUCCAUGUAGAAAAUACAUGUACAGUACGACCGACGUAACUUGGCGAGUCUGAAUAUAGCCGCAGGUCAACUUUCGCGCAUGUACACUUGUAAAAAAAAGUGUUAUUAGUAUUCAUUUUUUAAAAUCAAAAUACGAAUUAAAAUUUCCAUAUACAGGGACCAAGUACAAAUAAAAUGAAUAUCAAAACACUAUGAGAGAGAAAGCUAUAAAAAUAACGUAAUAAAUUAAAGAGAGGUAAUAAAAAAAUAAUAAAUUAAGACAGAAAGCGGUAAAAAUAACGUAAUUAAAUUAAUUCGAAAGUAAGCCCGAACACUGCCUUCAGUUGCGAUCCGCUGUACUGUGCGUUGCGAUACACCAGAUCGUUAGCAACUCUAAAUAAAACUGUCAACAUCUUUUACGCCUUCUUCUUUUUCUUUUUAAAAAAAAAUCAAAAAUUAUGUUUGUCGGCCGUCGAUUUAAAACACUAUUAUGCUUUGGUGGCAUCUUUGUUAACGAAUAGUAUAAAUGCCAAGGGACACUCAAUACUAAAACAAAUUUAAACACAAACAAUCUUAAAACUAAACAAAAAACUGAGCACUAAACAAAAACAGUAUAAUAAUAACAAAUCAAUGAAAACUUUUGUAGCCGCCCGUACUCAAGACAGAGAUAGCGACACGAACACGACACUAAUGCUAGCGUGUGAGUGAGACACAUUACCGCAUACCGAGAAUUACCGAAUUUAUACGAUGUCAAGAAAAGGGAUGUCCAAUAUGCGUGUUUGAGGAUGUUGUUUAAUCGAUUUUUUUUCAAAUUGAUUAAAAUUUAUAUAAAAAUAUAUAUUUAUAUUCCAUUUUAUAGGAGGUUUAAAAUAUUCACGAACAGUCCCUAUUGUAGUAGUUGUUGAUAAAUAACUGAUAUUCAACUAAAUCAUGUCUUUCAACCAAGAAAAUAAAGUGUUAUUAGUUUUUUUUUUUAUUAAAGAUGAAGUCUCGUUUACUAACGACAACAUUCAAUAUGUUUGUAAAUCUAUUUCAUUCAUUAUUUCAUAUAAACAAAAAUCAAUAAAUUCCAAACCGAUAAAAAUCGAUUGUGAUAUUUGAUUGAAUAAAGGGACGAUUGUGUUUACAUAGAGUCAAUCCCUAGCCUAGACCUCCGCCCCGCGCACGUUGCUCAUACCACCAUUUGGUUCCUAAAAACGUUUGUGCGCAGCCUU